rnacentral:tRNA from 1 species
GUGUCUGUGGUGGAGUGGUUGAACACGCCUGGCUGUGAACCAGGAGAACACCGGUUCAAACCCGGUCAGACACC